CACGAAGUUAGCCGGUGCUUAUUCUUUGGGUACCGUCAUCCCAACCGGGUAUUAGCCAGCUGGAUUUCUUUCCCAACAAAAGGGCUUUACAACCCGAAGGCCUUCUUCACCCACGCGGUAUUGGCUGGAUCAGGCUUGCGCCCAUUGUCCAAUAUUCCCCACUGCUGCCUCCCGUAGGAGUCUGGACCGUGUCUCAGUUCCAGUGUGGCUGAUCAUCCUCUCAGACCAGCUACGGAUCGUCGCCUUGGUGGGCCUUUACCCCGCCAACUAGCUAAUCCGACAUCGGCUCAUUCAAUCGCGCAAGGCCCGAAGGUCCCCUGCUUUCACCCGUAGGUCGUAUGCGGUAUUAGCGUAAGUUUCCCUACGUUACUCCCCCACGACAGAGUAGAUUCCGAUGUAUUCCUCACCCGUCCGCCACUCGCCACCCAGAGAGCAAGCUCUCCUGUGCUGCCGUUCGACUUGCAUGUGUUAGGCCUACCGCCAGCGUUCACUCUGAGCCAGGAUCAACUCUC
rnacentral:rRNA from 1 species